AGCAGCCGCGGUAAUUCCAGCUCCAAUAGCGUAUAUUAAAGUUGUUGCAGUUAAAAAGCUCGUAGUUGAAUUUCGGGGUUAGCAAGUUGGUCGUGCCUUUGGUAUGCACUGGCUUUGCUGAUUCCUCCUUCUUGAAGAACUGUGAUGCUAUUAAUUUGGUGUUGCAGGGAAACAGGACUGUUACUUUGAAAAAUUAGAGUGUUUAAAGCAGGCUAACGCUUGAAUACAUUAGCAUGGAAUAAUGAAAUAGGACGUUUGAUCCUAUUUUGUUGGUUUCUAGGAUUGACGUAAUGAUUAAUAGGGAUAGUUGGGGGCAUUAGUAUUCAAUUGUCAGAGGUGAAAUUCUUGGAUUUAUUGAAGACUAACUACUGCGAAAGCAUUUGCCAAGGAUGUUU
rnacentral:rRNA from 1 species